GCCCCCGUUGUGUAGCGGCCUAGCACGCCGCCCUCUCCAGGCGGUCGCGCCGGUUCGAAUCCGGUCGGGGGUA
rnacentral:tRNA from 1 species